GGGGACGAAAUUGGUUUCGACUGUUGUAGUUUAGGUAAAGUGGCAUGUAGGGGUGAGGGACCUCUUAAAAACCUUCAAACCAAUAAACGCUAACAACGAAUUAGCACUAGCAGCUUAAUCUCUGCUACGGAUUUAGGGUUUACUCCUCCGGUGGCCUUAAGUCUGACUCAAACGGAGGACGUCGUCGGUUGGUUGCCGGUUCCUAAUGGGCGAUGAAAACGAACUGGAUCGAGAAAACACACCUGUCAGUGGGUUAAGGUUUCUUUAAACAAAAAACACCGAAUAAACAUGUAGAGGCUUUACUGAAGCACAAUAGGACCCGGGUUCGAACCCCGGCGUCUCCAGUA
rnacentral:tmRNA from 1 species